UUUCCGUAGUGAACCUGCGGAAGGAUCAUUAUUGUAUAACCGAGGUGCGAGGGCUGUCGCUGACCCGAAAGGUCGUGCACGCCCGAGUGCCCUCACACACAUCCAUCUCACCCCUAUGUGCACCACCGCGUGGGUCCCCCUUUGGCUUGUUCGGAGGGGGGCUUACGUUUUCACACAAACUUUGUAUGCAGUGUAGAAUGUAUUUUUUGUUUUUGCGAUCACGCAAUCAAUACAACUUUCAACAACGGAUCUCUUGGCUCUC
rnacentral:misc_RNA from 1 species